AACGAACGCUGGCGGCAGGCUUAACACAUGCAAGUCGAGCGCCCCGCAAGGGGAGCGGCAGACGGGUGAGUAACGCGUGGGAAUCUACCCAGCUCUACGGAAUAACCCAGGGAAACUUGGACUAAUACCGUAUACGUCCUUCGGGAGAAAGAUUUAUCGGAGUUGGAUGAGCCCGCGUUGGAUUAGCUAGUUGGUGGGGUAAAGGCCUACCAAGGCGACGAUCCAUAGCUGGUCUGAGAGGAUGAUCAGCCACACUGGGACUGAGACACGGCCCAGACUCCUACGGGAGGCAGCAGUGGGGAAUAUUGGACAAUGGGCGCAAGCCUGAUCCAGCCAUGCCGCGUGAGUGAUGAAGGCCCUAGGGUUGUAAAGCUCUUUCAACGGUGAAGAUAAUGACGGUAACCGUAGAAGAAGCCCCGGCUAACUUCGUG
rnacentral:rRNA from 1 species